rnacentral:rRNA from 1 species
CAAGGCUUGACAUAUACGAGAACGCUGCAGAAAUGUAGAACUCUUUGGACACUCGUAAACAGGUGGUGCAUGGUUGUCGUCAGCUCGUGUCGUGAGAUGUUGGGUUAAGUCCCGCAACGAGCGCAACCCUCGUUCUAUGUUGCCAGCACGUAAUGGUGGGAACUCAUGGGAUACUGCCGGGGUCAACUCGGAGGAAGGUGGGGAUGACGUCAAAUCAUCAUGCCCCUUAUGUCUUGGGCUUCACGCAUGCUACAAUGGCCGGUACAAAGGGCUGCAAUACCGCAAGGUGGAGCGAAUCCCAAAAAGCCGGUCCCAGUUCGGAUUGAGGUCUGCAACUCGACCUCAUGAAGUCGGAGUCGCUAGUAAUCGCAGAUCAUCAACGCUGCGGUGAAUACGUUCCG